GACGAACGCUGGCGGCGUGCCUAACACAUGCAAGUCGAGCGAGGAAGCCCUUCGGGGUGGAUUAGCGGCGGACGGGUGAGUAACACGUGGGUAACCUGCCUCAAAGAGGGGGAUAGCCUCCCGAAAGGGAGAUUAAUACCGCAUAACAUUAGUUUUUCGCAUGAAGAACUAAUUAAAGGAGUAAUCCGCUUUGAGAUGGACCCGCGGCGCAUUAGCUAGUUGGUGAGGUCAAGGCGCACCAAGGCGACGAUGCGUAGCCGACCUGAGAGGGUGAUCGGCCACAUUGGAACUGAGACACGGUCCAGAAUCCUACGGGAGGCAGCAGUGGGGAAUAUUGCGCAAUGGGCGAAAGCCUGAUGGAGCAACGCCGCGUGAGUGAUGAAGGCCUUCGGGUUGUAAAGCUCUGUCUUUUGGGACGAUAAUGACGGUACCAAAGGAGGAAGCCACGGCUAACUACGUGCCAGCCGCCGCCGUAACAC
rnacentral:rRNA from 1 species